rnacentral:lncRNA from 1 species
AUUUAUUCUAACAUGGAGAAAGUUCUGUACAAUUAUACAAAGUAUGACUGACAAUUAUCAAGAGGAAAUAGUUGUUGAUGUAUAGAUAUAAAUUCACUUAAUUAGUUCAUGUUUGGUUCACACUGUAGAAGUUUCUGGGACACAGUAGAUAUGCCUUCUCCUUGUCCCUUGAACAAAGAUAAUUGUUGGUUAUGGAAACUUUUCAGAAUAAAACACAGGAAAGAUUCUUAGAAACAAACAGUGAGGACGAUUGUUCUCUUUCAAUGAGUUGUUGACACAGUCGAAUGGAGAUGAAGGUGGCAAAUGGCAAAAGUGAGAUACCGAAGAUUUAUUUUCUGGACGUCUUCUCUGGUCUCUUUUGUUCUAGCCUCUCCUUGUCCCUUUUUUCUGAACUCUCAUUCAUCACUUUAAUUGUGAACUUGGUUUUCAUUUUCUCACAGAGGUUUUUAUAUGAUCAUCGAUAUCUUAACCUUCCACCUCUCCGUGACGGAUGCUAACACAACAUUAUUCUAGAUAUUCAUAUCAUCCAGUACUUGUGUUUAUAUUUCUUGUGAUUUAAAUUGUGUUGAGGGACAAGAGUCCAUGGGUUGUCUAUACGAGAUAUCAUCAUGUGUUACUUUCUGUGUACGUUCCUGACCUUCACAGUAUACUCCAAGGUUAAACUUAAGGUCUUCCCUAAAGGAAACCCAAUUAGUACAACCCCUCCUCGGGUCUUUGUAUGUUACUUGACUAGGUACUAUACCCUGUAAAUUAAAGCAAAUAUAUCUGUGAUUUGAUAAAUAUGG